rnacentral:tRNA from 1 species
GCGGGUGUGGUGAAAUUGGUAGACGCGCCGGACUCAAAAUCCGGUUCCGCAAGGAGUGUCGGUUCGAGCCCGACCACCCGCACCA